AGGGGGCAGACCACACAGGAGGCUUUGGGGAGAGCAGGGCAGGGUCACGGCUGGAGAGGAGAGAGCAGGGUGUGUGUGUGCAUGUGUGUGUGUGUGUGUGUGCGCAUGUGUGCACAUGUUCAGGGGAAGGGAAGAGAUGGCUCUAUCUUGUGGCUGAGAAAGGUCAUCCCCAAGAAGAGCAGGGUUGGGACCAGCAUGUUCCUCUCUGGCAGGUCCAUAAUGAAGAUGGGAAACCGAGGCCUCGAUGGGCCUGAACUGGCUUGUCGGAAGGUGUAAAUGAACUGGUGGUGGAAGCAGAUUAGAACUCAGGGCAGUAUUCUUUCCCCCAGUGUCUCCUGGUGGGAUAAAAAGGGGAACCUAAAUAGGAAGGGGCACUUCGGGCACCAGAGAGGUGAAGCUAGGCCAGGGGCUUUCAUUUGGGAGGAAGGAAGGAAGGGGGUGCAGUUUCUGGGCAGAAGAGCCAUGAUCCUACAUGAGGGGGACGGAAGUGUGUGAGGUCCUGCUGGGGACCACACACUUAUGUGGUGGCCUUAUGUACCUGAGCUCAGGGGCAGAUGAAGGCAGUGGAGAGGCAUCUGGUUAGGACCCUGUGUAACACCCUCCAGAGGCCUCCUGUUGAAUACCUUCCUUGGCCUGUAGAGCUCUCUCCGAGUUUCUCCAGCCCCUUUAGUGUGAUGCUGCCAACCUCAGGGCCUUUGCACGUGCUGUUCCCUCUGCCGAAUCACUCUCACCCCUGCUCUUCACAAGGCUGGCUCCCCUACCUCCAGCCUUCAGCCAAAUGUCACCUCCCGUGAGAGUCCUUCCCUGACCAUCCUAGGUAAAGAAUCUCCCUCAACCUUACUUUUCUACCAUCUUGUUUAUUUCCUGCAUAAUGUUUUUCACAAUUGUUUCUUGGGUUCCCCUGUUUUGCUAAAACACAUGCUGGUCUUAUUUAAUUACACUUGAAUCUCCAGAGCCGGGUGCACAGUAGGAGCUCAACGAAUGCUUAUUGAAUGAAUAAAUGAAUAAAAAAGGAAACAGGAAGCAGUCCUGGGUGGCUGCAGGGCUGAAGGCUUCUUAUAAGGGGACCAGGGUCCUCUGCCCAGUCCUGCCUUUCUCUUCACUCUUCCUACCCUAGCCCCGUGGGGUCCCUGA
rnacentral:lncRNA from 10 species